AUGUUUGGAGGAGCCACUCCUUUUUCCACCACCUCAGCAGAACAGUGCAGUCCCUCCCAUCUUCCCAAGCAGCAGCCCUUUCCCAGUCUACUGGGGCAGUGGGGUGUCCAACAUCUGCACGUUUAUGCUGAAGCAACUUCUGUCCCAUACGGAAUCCCUCUUCUUACGCAGAGAUACACAAAGAGAAAGAGGAGCAGAAAUACUGCGCAGGCAUGUGGCAGAGCAUAUGAGGAGGGACUGAGCUUUAACAGCCUUUUGCUGACCAUGAACCUUGUACCCGAGCUGCAGGGUGGAAGGGCAAAGGAAGAUGGAGACUUGGGGCUUAUGCAGGGGACCCAAACUGCAUUCCAGAAAGAAGCAGACACUUAG
rnacentral:lncRNA from 1 species